AAAAGCUUCAUUCAUGGCGCAGGCGCUCGGCAAUUCGAAAAGCCUGAGACGACAAAGUGAGGUGGCGAGAAAGUUCGUGUACAGACACCCCGACAGCCUGACAGGAGGAAGAGAAAAUAUAUAACAGCAUUUUCAACACCUACCAACGGCAGACAACUCUCCUGUCGUUAUUUUGUCGCGACUCGGGACUUCCGGCGGGAGAGCAGCAGGGGAAAGUAACCCACACCGACCUCCUGUAAUCGGUAAAGAUAAUCGCACAGACUACACAAAUGGCAGCAGUAAAUUAUGAUCAGGAGAAUCGCGCGCCACAUCGACAGGCCCGGCAGCUACAAGAGUUGUUCCACGGCCGCUUUUCCUUUGAGGAGGCCGGGAACUGAUCGCAGCCAAGGGAGACUUGCAAGAAGCUGCAAACUUUGUGCUCAAUGGGGAUGCUGCUGAAGUCACGGCUUACAUCUGGGUCGGAGAGAGGACCUGAGGGAGCUGAGGCAGAUCAACGCUGCCCGAGUUCGAGAAGAACUGACCAAUGGGAUGCCAGCUUCCACUCGACUCUUCGCCUGCACAGACUGCAACCGUUAUUGGUGGCGGAAAGUUCCAGAAAGGAAAGAGGUGUCCAGGUGUAACAAGUGUCGCAGCAAGUACGACCCUGUACCCCGGAACACGAGUGGGGGCUGGCGGACUUUGAGUGCGACUGCGGCAACUCCUUCAGAGCAACGGGGCUCAUGAAUGAAACAACCCGGAUUUGUCUGAGAUGUAACGCCUACGUGUACCCGGCACGGAUUAUUCCUCCAUCUGAAAAUCUGGAGAGAAGACCGCGGAGAGCACCGAUGAGGCAGUUCCUGCAGUUGCAUGAAGAUCAAAGAAUUUUAAGGGAGGUGUACUACCCGAGUCCGCGACACCUCAGCACAGGUUCCACGGUGCCCACGUGUCUCACCCAGGGUGACUUACAGGAGAGGUACAACUUUCCCAUCGUCCUCCCUGUGAUAAGGGAAGAACAAGGUGGCAGUGAUGACGACGACAACGAUAGCAACUGAUGGAGUCUUCGCGAACCUCAGGUCUUGCAGUUCCUCGCGAUACCUCCUCGUUGCCUAGCAACCUCAGGUUGUUCGUCUGUUGCCUCCCGACCAUCUGUUAUCAACCUCUUGUUAAGGAGUAUCGCUGUUUCAGAGUUGAAGCUUUGUGGUUUUUUUUUAAAAAAAAAUUAUAACCGCCUCUGAAUAAAUUCAUGCAAAGGGGAGACAAAA